rnacentral:tmRNA from 1 species
GGGGUCGACUGGUUUUGACAGCGAGAUUAAUUAAAUGGUAAGCACGUCGUGUAAUGGCAUUGAAACACGUUAAAGGCUAGACCAAAUUUUAAACGGCGAGAAUAACUACGCUUUAGCUGCAUAAUCUGAAUUAUAGUAAGAUUGGCCUAGGCUCACAAGGUGAGCAAGCUAAAUGUCUCCAGAAAGCCUUGGUUAGUGGCGUUCUAUUUAGAGGCAUCGUAAAAAUUAACUAAGAUUGGGUAAUGCUUUGAUGCCUUUUCGAGAUUAAAAAGCUAAGCUGUAAGUAGGCUGUUUUUUGUCAGCUUAUGGUCAAAAACCAAUAAAAAACUAAACGUGUAGAAAGCUCUUUGGUUACUUGUUUGGACGAGAGUUCGAUUCUCUCCGACUCCACAA